rnacentral:snRNA from 1 species
UCACUUUGGCAGCCAAUGUACUAAAAUUGGAGUGAUAGAAGAUUAGCAUGGUCCUUGCGUGAGGAUGACACACAAAUUCAUGAAGCAUUCCAUAUUUUU